rfam:Cricetulus griseus cell line CHO-K1, whole genome shotgun sequence.
GGAGAGAUGGCUCAGUGGUUAAGAGCACUUACUGCUCUUCCAGAGGACCUGGGUUCAAAUCUCAGUAUCUACA